rnacentral:rRNA from 1 species
AUUGAACGCUGGCGGCAGGCCUAACACAUGCAAGUCGAGCGGAUGAGGGGAGCUUGCUCCCUGAUUUAGCGGCGGACGGGUGAGUAAUGCCUAGGAAUCUGCCUGGUAGUGGGGGAUAACGUUCCGAAAGGAACGCUAAUACCGCAUACGUCCUACGGGAGAAAGCAGGGGACCUUCGGGCCUUGCGCUAUCAGAUGAGCCUAGGUCGGAUUAGCUAGUUGGUGAGGUAAUGGCUCACCAAGGCGACGAUCCGUAACUGGUCUGAGAGGAUGAUCAGUCACACUGGAACUGAGACACGGUCCAGACUCCUACGGGAGGCAGCAGUGGGGAAUAUUGGGCAAUGGGCGAAAGCCUGAUCCAGCCAUGCCGCGUGUGUGAAGAAGGUCUUCGGAUUGUAAAGCACUUUAAGUUGGGAGGAAGGGCUGCUGGUUAAUACCCUGCAGUUUUGACGUUACCAACAGAAUAAGCACCGGCUAACUUCGUG